AAAAACAUAGCCUUUAGCCAAACAAGUAUUAAAGGUCUAGCCUGCCCAGUGAACUAUUUCAACGGCCGCGGUAUCCUAACCGUGCAAAGGUAGCGUAAUCAUUUGUCUUCUAAAUAAAGACUUGUAUGAACGGCUAACUGAGGGCCCAACUGUCUCCUUACGCCAAUCUAUGAAACUGAUCUUUCAGUACAAAAGCUGAAAUAAAUACAUAAGACGAGAAGACCCUGUGGAGCUUUAAACCCCUACUAUAAACAACAACCCCCCCCUAAAGGAAUACCUUCCCCCUAAUAGUAAGCGGUUUUCAGUUGGGGCGACUUUGGAAUAAAACAAAACUUCCAUGCCAGGGGGAACCCCCCUACCAAGGCCAACAUGCCAAAAUAUUACUUUAUUGACCCAGCCUGUCUGAGCAACGAACCAAGUUACCCCAGGGAUAACAGCGCUAUCCUCUUCAAGAGUCCCUAUCGACAAGAGGGUUUACGACCUCGAUGUUGGAUCAGGACACCCCGGUGGUGCAGCCGCUACCAAAGGUUCGUUUGUUCAACGAUUAACAGU
rnacentral:rRNA from 1 species